GCAGGGCCCAGUGCACGCCCAACAGUGACAGUAAAACCUGGAUCAUGCCUACCUACUUGUGCAAAAUGUUCUUUUACCCGACCGAAACCGAAGUGUAAUAGUGACAGUGACUGUAAA